UACGGAGGGAGCUAGCGUUGUUCGGAAUUACUGGGCGUAAAGGGCGCGUAGGCGGAUACUUAAGUCGGGGGUGAAAGCCCGGGGCUCAACCUCGGAAUUGCCUUCGAUACUGGGUAUCUUGAGUUCGGGAGAGGUGAGUGGAAUGCCGAGUGUAGAGGUGAAAUUCGUAGAUAUUCGGCGGAACACCAGUGGCGAAGGCGACUCACUGGCCCGAUACUGACGCUGAUGCGCGAAAGCGUGGGGAGCAAACAGG
rnacentral:rRNA from 1 species